GUGCUCGCUUCGGCAGCACAUAUACUGGAAUUGGAACGAUGCAGAGAAGAUUAGCAUGGCCCCUGCGCAAGGAUGACACGCAGAUUCGUGAAGCGUUCCAUAUUUUU
ensembl:snRNA U6 U6 spliceosomal RNA